rnacentral:rRNA from 1 species
UUAAGCGACUAAGCGUACACGGUGGAUGCCCUGGCAGUCAGAGGCGAUGAAGGACGUGCUAAUCUGCGAUAAGCGUCGGUAAGGUGAUAUGAACCGUUAUAACCGGCGAUUUCCGAAUGGGGAAACCCAGUGUGAUUCGUCACACUAUCAUUAACUGAAUCCAUAGGUUAAUGAGGCGAACCGGGGGAACUGAAACAUCUAAGUACCCCGAGGAAAAGAAAUCAACCGAGAUUCCCCCAGUAGCGGCGAGCGAACGGGGAGCAGCCCAGAGCCUGAAUCAGUGUGUGUGUUAGUGGAAGCGUCUGGAAAGGCGCGCGAUACAGGGUGACAGCCCCGUACACAAAAAUGCACAUGCUGUGAGCUCGAUGAGUAGGGCGGGACACGUGGUAUCCUGUCUGAAUAUGGGGGGACCAUCCUCCAAGGCUAAAUACUCCUGACUGACCGAUAGUGAACCAGUACCGUGAGGGAAAGGCGAAAAGAACCCCGGCGAGGGGAGUGAAAAAGAACCUGAAACCGUGUACGUACAAGCAGUGGGAGCACAGAGCAAUCUGUGUGACUGCGUACCUUUUGUAUAAUGGGUCAGCGACUUAUAUUCUGUAGCAAGGUUAACCGAAUAGGGGAGCCGAAGGGAAACCGAGUCUUAACUGGGCGUUAAGUUGCAGGGUAUAGACCCGAAACCCGGUGAUCUAGCCAUGGGCAGGUUGAAGGUUGGGUAACACUAACUGGAGGACCGAACCGACUAAUGUUGAAAAAUUAGCGGAUGACUUGUGGCUGGGGGUGAAAGGCCAAUCAAACCGGGAGAUAGCUGGUUCUCCCCGAAAGCUAUUUAGGUAGCGCCUCGUGAAUUCAUCUCCGGGGGUAGAGCACUGUUUCGGCAAGGGGGUCAUCCCGACUUACCAACCCGAUGCAAACUGCGAAUACCGGAGAAUGUUAUCACGGGAGACACACGGCGGGUGCUAACGUCCGUCGUGAAGAGGGAAACAACCCAGACCGCCAGCUAAGGUCCCAAAGUCAUGGUUAAGUGGGAAACGAUGUGGGAAGGCCCAGACAGCCAGGAUGUUGGCUUAGAAGCAGCCAUCAUUUAAAGAAAGCGUAAUAGCUCACUGGUCGAGUCGGCCUGCGCGGAAGAUGUAACGGGGCUAAACCAUGCACCGAAGCUGCGGCAGCGGCACUGUGUGUUGUUGGGUAGGGGAGCGUUCUGUAAGCCUGCGAAGGUGUGCUGUGAGGCAUGCUGGAGGUAUCAGAAGUGCGAAUGCUGACAUAAGUAACGAUAAAGCGGGUGAAAAGCCCGCUCGCCGGAAGACCAAGGGUUCCUGUCCAACGUUAAUCGGGGCAGGGUGAGUCGACCCCUAAGGCGAGGCCGAAAGGCGUAGUCGAUGGGAAACAGGUUAAUAUUCCUGUACUUGGUGUUACUGCGAAGGGGGGACGGAGAAGGCUAUGUUGGCCGGGCGACGGUUGUCCCGGUUUAAGCGUGUAGGCUGGUUUUCCAGGCAAAUCCGGAAAAUCAAGGCUGAGGCGUGAUGACGAGGCACUACGGUGCUGAAGCAACAAAUGCCCUGCUUCCAGGAAAAGCCUCUAAGCAUCAGGUAACAUCAAAUCGUACCCCAAACCGACACAGGUGGUCAGGUAGAGAAUACCAAGGCGCUUGAGAGAACUCGGGUGAAGGAACUAGGCAAAAUGGUGCCGUAACUUCGGGAGAAGGCACGCUGAUAUGUAGAUGAAGUCCCUCGCGGAUGGAGCUGAAAUCAGUCGAAGAUACCAGCUGGCUGCAACUGUUUAUUAAAAACACAGCACUGUGCAAACACGAAAGUGGACGUAUACGGUGUGACGCCUGCCCGGUGCCGGAAGGUUAAUUGAUGGGGUCAGCGCAAGCGAAGCUCUUGAUCGAAGCCCCGGUAAACGGCGGCCGUAACUAUAACGGUCCUAAGGUAGCGAAAUUCCUUGUCGGGUAAGUUCCGACCUGCACGAAUGGCGUAAUGAUGGCCAGGCUGUCUCCACCCGAGACUCAGUGAAAUUGAACUCGCUGUGAAGAUGCAGUGUACCCGCGGCAAGACGGAAAGACCCCGUGAACCUUUACUAUAGCUUGACACUGAACAUUGAGCCUUGAUGUGUAGGAUAGGUGGGAGGCUUUGAAGUGUGGACGCCAGUCUGCAUGGAGCCGACCUUGAAAUACCACCCUUUAAUGUUUGAUGUUCUAACGUGGACCCGUGAUCCGGGUUGCGGACAGUGUCUGGUGGGUAGUUUGACUGGGGCGGUCUCCUCCUAAAGAGUAACGGAGGAGCACGAAGGUUGGCUAAUCCUGGUCGGACAUCAGGAGGUUAGUGCAAUGGCAUAAGCCAGCUUGACUGCGAGCGUGACGGCGCGAGCAGGUGCGAAAGCAGGUCAUAGUGAUCCGGUGGUUCUGAAUGGAAGGGCCAUCGCUCAACGGAUAAAAGGUACUCCGGGGAUAACAGGCUGAUACCGCCCAAGAGUUCAUAUCGACGGCGGUGUUUGGCACCUCGAUGUCGGCUCAUCACAUCCUGGGGCUGAAGUAGGUCCCAAGGGUAUGGCUGUUCGCCAUUUAAAGUGGUACGCGAGCUGGGUUUAGAACGUCGUGAGACAGUUCGGUCCCUAUCUGCCGUGGGCGCUCGGAGAACUGAGGGGGCGUGCGUCCUAGUACGAGAGGACCGGAGUGGACGCAUCACUGGUGUUCGGGUUGUCAUGCCAAUGGCACUGCCCGGUAGCUAAAUGCGGAAGAGAUAAGUGCUGAAAGCAUCUAAGCACGAAACUUGCCCCGAGAUGAGUUCUCCCUGACUCCUUGAGAGUCCUGAAGGAACGUUGAAGACGACGACGUUGAUAGGCCGGGUGUGUAAGCGCAGCGAUGCGUUGAGCUAACCGGUACUAAUGAACCGUGAGGCUUAACCUU